AGAGGAUUCUGCUAAUAGAUGCAAUGUGGUAACUGAGUGAGUGAGUGUGAGGCAGAGCAAGAGAGAGAGGCAGGCGGGGAGGGGGUGCUGGGUUGCUGACUUGGAGCUCUGCUGCGGCGAGCUUUGAGCUAGCGACUCUCUGAGCUCUCUGGCUGUGUGUGUGUCCGUAGGCUGCUGUGGUGCAGACUGUAGGCUAGCCACGUUAGCCUCCCUCUUCCCCACCCGUCAGCCGGCAGCUCCGCACUGCUUCAGCGGCAGUUAGGCUCUACAGUCUUUGAGUGUCUCUGUUUGUAGCUGAGGAUUUUCUUGCCCCUGAAAGGAUACUCUGUCUCCCUGACAAAGCAGAGAGAGGAAGAGGGGGACAGAGUAAGAGGAAGACGGGAGGAAGAAGAGCGACAGCAGGCCGGCAGUGACCUUCGAGGUGUGGUGGCAAAGCAGAGGAGGAGGAGGAGGAGGAGGAACCGGGAAUUGGUGUUAGAUCCAUCAGGUGCGUUUUCCUUCUUUGAGGAGAAGUGAUAUGGAAACC
rnacentral:lncRNA from 1 species